rnacentral:rRNA from 1 species
GAUGAACGCUGGCGGCGUGCCUAAUACAUGCAAGUCGAGCGAACGGACGAGAAGCUUGCUUCUCUGAUGUUAGCGGCGGACGGGUGAGUAACACGUGGAUAACCUACCUAUAAGACUGGGAUAACUUCGGGAAACCGGAGCUAAUACCGGAUAAUAUUUUGAACCGCAUGGUUCAAAAGUGAAAGACGUUCUUGCUGUCACUUAUGGAUGGAUCCGCGCUGCAUUAGCUAGUUGGUAAGGUAACGGCUUACCAAGGCAACGAUGCAUAGCCGACCUGAGAGGGUGACCGGCCACACUGGAACUGAGCCACGGCCCAGACUCCUACGGGAGGCAGCAGUAGGGAAUCUUCCGAAAUGGGCGAAAGCCUGACGGAGCAACGCCGCGUGAGUGAUGAAGGUCUUCGGAUCGUAAAACUCUGUUAUUAGGGAAGAACAUAUGUGUAAGUAACUGUGCACAUCUUGACGGUACCUAAUCAGAAAGCCACGGCUAACUACGUG